rnacentral:lncRNA from 1 species
GUAACUCAUGCUUUCAAAAUAUCAGGAAGCAAAUGAGAAAAGGAAAAAAAGACAUUCAUUGUAUAUGCUGUGAAGUAAUCCUGCCAAAGGACACUUUGGGCUCCGCAGUGAGUAUAUUUUUUCCUUAAAAAUUGCCAAUUUCUUGAUCUAUAUUCUAUGAUAAAAGUUUUAAUAUUUUGCUAAGUUAAUUAGUAUUGCCUAUUGACCAACAUGUUCUAUUUAGUGUACUGCUUCACCAAGUGCCAACAUAUACGUCUCCAGUGACUGCUGAUGGCUGAGUCUCCUUAUGUUAGUAAAUUUCUAAACAUUUUUCUUAGUACAUGGAGUAACGUGUUAUGUUGAUCAAUGUUUGAUGACACUUAAAUGUAACUACAAUGCAGUAAUUCGAAGGUAAGAAAAAGUUGCCAUGACUC